rnacentral:rRNA from 1 species
ACAAUGGAGAGUUUGAUCCUGGCUCAGGAUGAACGCAAGGGAGGCCUAACACAUGCAAGCCGAGCGGUAGAGUGUCUUCGGAUACUUGAGAGCGGCGUACGGUGCGGAACACGUGUGCAACCUGCCUUUAUCUGAGGGAUAGCCUUUCGAAAGGAAGAUUAAUACCUCAUAAUAUACUGAUUGGCAUCAAUUAGUAUUGAAAGCCCGGCGGAUAGAGAUGGGCACGCGCAAGAUUAGAUAGUUGGUGAGGUAACGGCUCACCAAGUCAAUGAUCUUUAGGGGCCUGAGAGGGUGAUCCCCACACUGGUACUGAGACACGGACCAGACUCCUACGGGAGGCAGCAGUGAGGAAUAUUGGACAAUGGGUGCAAGCCUGAUCCAGCCAUCCUGGCGUGAAGGACGACGGCCCUAUGGGUUGUAAACUUUUGUACAGGGAUAAACCUACUCGUGAGGGUAGCUGAAGGUAUUGUACGAAUAAGCACCGGCUAACUCAGCCAGCAGCCGCGGUAAUACGGAGGGUGCAAGCGUUAUCCGGAUUUGCUGGGUUUAAAGGGUCCGCAGGCGGGCUAGUAAGUCAGUGGUGAAAGUUUGCAGUUUAACUGCCAGAACUGCCGUUGAUACGCUAGUCUUGAGUAUAGUUGAGGUAGCUGAAUGAGUAGUGUAGCGGUGAAAUGCAUAGAUAUUACUCAGAACACCGGAUUGCGAAGGCAGGUUACCAAGUUAUAACUGACGCUGAGGACGAAAGGUGGGGGAGCGAACAGAAUAGAUACCCCAGAAGUCCACGCCGUAAACGAUGCUAACUCGUUUUUGGGCUAUAUGGUUCAGAGACUAAGCUUAGUGAUAAGUUAGCCACCUGGGGAGUACGACCGCAAGGUUGAAACUCAAAGGAAUUGAUCUGGGCCCGCACAAGCGGUGGAUCAUGUGGUUGACUGAUGAUACGCGAGGAACCUACCAAGGCUUAAAUGGGAAUUGAUAGCUGUAGAAAUACGGUUUUCUUUCUGGACAAUUUUCAAGGUGUUGAUGGUUGUCGUCAGCUUCUCGUGCCGUGAGGUGUUAGGUUAAGUCCCGCAACGAGCGCACCCCUGUCACUAGUUGCCAUCAUUAAGUUGGGGACUCUAGUGAGACUGCUCACGCAAGUAGCGAGGAAGGUGGGGAUGACGUCAAAUCAUCACGGUCUUACGCCUUGGGCCACACACGUGAUACAAUGGCCGGUACAGAGGGCAGCUACACUGCGAAGUGAUGCAAUCUCGAAAGCCGGUCUCGUUCGAUUGAGUCUGCAACUCGACUCUAUGAAGCUGGAAUCGCUAGUAAUCGCGCAUCAGCCAUGGCGGCGAAUACGUUCCGGGCCUUGGUAAUACCGCCCGUCAAGCCAUGGAAGCUGGGGGUACCUGAAGUCGGUGACCGUAAAGGAGCUGCCUAGGGUAAAAACUAGUAACUAGGGCUGUCAACAAAGGUAGCCGUACCGGAAGGUGCGGCUGGAACAUCUCAUUU